rnacentral:rRNA from 1 species
GACGAACGCUGGCGGCGUGCUUAACACAUGCAAGUCGAACGGAAAGGCCCUGCUUUUGUGGGGUGCUCGAGUGGCGAACGGGUGAGUAACACGUGAGUAACCUGCCCUUGACUUUGGGAUAACUUCAGGAAACUGGGGCUAAUACCGGAUAGGAGCUCCUGCUGCAUGGUGGGGGUUGGAAAGUUUCGGCGGUUGGGGAUGGACUCGCGGCUUAUCAGCUUGUUGGUGGGGUAGUGGCUUACCAAGGCUUUGACGGGUAGCCGGCCUGAGAGGGUGACCGGCCACAUUGGGACUGAGGUACGGCCCAGACUCCUACGGGAGGCAGCAGUGGGGAAUAUUGCACAAUGGGCGGAAGCCUGAUGCAGCAGCGCCGCGUGCGUGAUGACGGCCUUCGUGUUGUAAACCGCUUUCGCCUGUUACGAAGCGUGAUUGACGGUAAUGGGUAAAGAAGCACCGGCUAACUACGUG